ACAAGUGUGAGUGUCGUCUGCUUUUGUUUAGUUGAAAAUUUCGAAAAAGUCAGACCAAGUUCAAGAUUUAUACUCUAAUAGAAUUAUUUAUUUUUGAUAACCGUCAUACUCCAUGCUGUUUAGCGGGUAAAUGAAACUAAGUAUACAAAUUAAAUGAUUGUGGGAGCUAUAGAAGAGUUAAACCUGUUCCAAGAUUGCAAAAUAUUUGAGGCUGGAGCCAUCAUAACCACACAACAUGCAAGUUUUUCUUGUGCAGGUGAUAAACCUGUCAUUAUUAGCAACAAUCUCAGGAUCAUCGCUUGGAUAAGAAUCAUCCCAUUGCAUUGGAAAAACUACCGAUGUCGGCCGAGUGACGGAUCUAUCAUUUUACCCUUUCUUCAAAAUGACCUCGUGUACGCCCAUGUGAAUGUGGGUGUAUUCACGAGGACACCCUUUACCCUAUCCCGUCUGGGGUGAUUUAACUCUUCAUCGGAUGGAUGGAGCAACUGUAGAUGCCUGGCUGUAUUUCCCAGGCAUAAAGGUAGGAGACAAAAUUGAUCUCUAUUCUUCCUUUAUGACAAUUUUUUGGUGGGUUUGAUUAUGAAUCGUUGCGUAGUCACGGAUUAUGUUUCUUCCUGAGCUAGGCGUGUUGACUGCAAUUGUUUUCUCUCUCCGUUUUUGUUUUUUCUCAGUCAUGGUUCACUAAAAAAUCUCAUUUGUUGAACGACUGCAGAUCAGGCUUGUUUUGUUGUGUACCUCACAACUUUUUCUGUGGGUAAACCAUAUUCACAUUCAAAAACAUUUGAGCUUUAAACACUUCGAGGGUUCAAGCAAAGUGCAACAAGACCAAGAGGGACCUGCCGCCACACCGGAACCUUCUCGUUCAUUUAUGGGAAAAACACGAAAAUGAUCUUACGUAACAGAACCUCCGUUAGGGUGAAUUAACUCACGUGAAUGUACAAAUAUCUCAAGGCUAUGCCAAACCCGUGCAGACUGUACAUGCGUCUACCUUUUGUUUGCUAUUGCUAAGCAGCUAGCUAGCAGCUACAGAAUCCGAAAACUUCCUUUUUUCUUAGAUUAACAAUUUUUUCUACGCCUUUCUAAAUGUUAUAUUAUAUUGUGAGAGAUAAAAGAUAAAUCCGAGUUGUAUUAGACGAAUUAGCUAAAGUAAUUCAACAGAGUGAGGUGUGAAAAAAAAUCUGGUAGAAAUGGUAUUUUAGUAAUAAUUUAGUGUCAGUAAUUUCUUGGAAUUGAUGAAUUAAUUUUAUCAAGACUGGUUUUCUUUGCCGUUCUCCUUUCAAGAUCGAGUGCUGCUUUUAAGGCAAGAAUAUAUCCUUGGCUAUUUUCCAACCGCUAUACCUUUAAUUUUAAAAAAAGAAUGGUAAUAAUUAGUAAACUCUUUUAAAUUUGCGGUAUAUGCGUGUCUUUACUGUCGCCUUGUCCGAACGCUAAAUUGCCUAGCGGCGUCGCAAUAGCUCCGCCAAUGCCCAGACCGAUCCCAAAUCCACCUGCGCAGUUUAUUGCCAAUGUUGUUAUAGGGGCAGUUCACUCUAGAAAGAAAUUUGAAGUGUCGUAAAACAUACCUGGCCCAACGUUUGCUAUGCCAGUUCCUUGGCCGAUAGCAGCACCAUCUAAGGAUUGAGGUUUUUUUUUUUUUUUUAAGAAAUUAUUAUUCGAAAUAUCUAUUUUGAAAAAUUAAUAAUUUCCAUUCGCCAGCGCACCUUGUACGGCACCAUUGCCAGCACCACCGGCUGUGGCUGAGCCAAACUGGCCACCGUUUAGCAUUCCUAGAACUUUGCACAAAACACAGGACAAAAAGAAUAGUAUGAUUAAACUGAAAGAAGAAGAAAGCGAAUGUUUCUCUUACGCUUAUUAAUGUCGUUAUUUGAUUCCGUCGAUCCUCCCGGAGUGAACAAGGACCCUGGGUUUUUAGGUGCAGCGCUGGCAUCUGGAACAGCAGCCACUUCUCCUGUAGGACUAGCCACAGGAGUUACUGGUGCUGGAACAACGGCCUCCGGAGUUUUGUGAGGAACAGCCUCUACAGCCGGUGUGGCUGAGACCGCAGGUUGCGGUUGCUGUUGUCCAUUAGCAAGUAAUCCGGACAAAAUGCCACCGGGUCGGAGGAAAGGUCGAGGUCUGUUCGGUCUCUGAAAGAAAGGUUGUUGUUGUCCUAGUUGAAGAAAUUGGGGGUCAGGUACGGGCACUGCUAAUCCAAUCCCGAAUAGGGCGGUAACAACAAGAAGUAACUGUAGCACCUUCAUCUGUAAAAUGCAAGUUUAAUAUAUCCUUAAAAAUUUAGCAAGAGAAAUGAAAAACAAUUUCGCGGUGCUCCAAAAAAGUUGUUGUCUUGUUUUCAAAGGCGCAGCAGCGAAAUCAUAAAAAAAAGCUGUUUUGUUUUUCGAUUGCGUGUAUACCUUUGAAAAGUAGCUAUAAUAACCGACUUUACAGGUGAGACAAAAUAUCGAACAAAACCUAGAAAAUCAAAGAGCGACACACCACUCCAGUCGAACCGUCCGUCGGGGUUUAUCGCGUACGAAAGACUGAAAUGGUCAAAGGCCUUGUGCGCGCUAGAGAGAAACUCUCCCCAGCGCAGUGGAUUUUUCAAGCGCAGGUAUAGUCUGCAAACACACCCAAGUAGCUACACACUACAAGUCUUUUUAUUUUUGUAUUUUUUUUUUUUUUAAGAAAUAACCCUGUCUUCUUUUGAGGAGAGAACUGUGACUCACACGGUCUCGAGUCUCGACACUACGGCAACUGCGUUCUUAUUAGCUCAAGGUCCAUUUAUAAACAACUAGCCUUGCAUUGGACUGUCGACUGACGAUUUAUUGUUCAGACAACAUGCGAUUCGAAACGCAUUGGGAUAUUCGGCGGAUCUCCUUUCAGCUUGUGUAUGUAACGUAAUUCAUUUGUUAAUAAUCCGGAAAUGGGCUCAUCAGUUGACGUCUGUCAAAGUCUGGGAAAUACCAUUGACACACGUAUUAAUUUGGCUUCUCAAAAUGGUCACUCUGGGAAAUUUUUCUUUUCCCGGAUACGCGGGGCGGGAUUAAUUAUUAUAUAACGUUGAGAAAUCGGUACUUAUAACGAUGGGGUUUUCUUGACAUCCUUGUUCUUUCUUUUGCAACUUUUAAAAUUAUUAUUUCUUCUACAAUUAUUAGGAUUUUUAAGAGAUUUUUUAAUUGUAAAUAAUCAAUCUAACCAAUUAUAAUGAGUUGACACCAGAUUAGACCAGUUAUUUAGUCGUGUAUUUCCCUGAAAACAUUAUACAGACCAAGGGCACGGUAUUAUCGACCGAGGACGACCGCAUGACCAGCAGUAAGAAAGCCACAACCACAAUCGCACCUUUUGUUUGUACACACGGAUACACAAUUAUUGGUUAGUCUAUACGUGUGUCAACAAGUUAACAUAUUCUUGAGAGAAAAAUUACUUGAACAAUAUUGAGCUUUAUCUUCCAACUGCAACUCCGCUGCCUUGUCCAAAGGCUAAAUUUCCGAGCGGGGUCUGAAUUGCACCUCCGAUUCCCAAGCCAAUGCCAAAUCCACCUGAUUGUUGUGGCACACAUAAGAUGGUUAAUUGAAUUGUUGACUCUGGUGUGCAAUCCAAAUCAAAUCAUACCAAAUCCGACGUUAGCGACACCUGUUCCUGAGCCUGUGGCUGAGCCGUUUUGAACGGCCCCACUUCCCGCUCCGCCAGCCGUUGCGUUCCCUUUUUGAGAAUGAUUCAAAAGCUGCCACACUAUAUUUGAAGUGGAAAAACUUGAUAUUAAAACCAGUUAUUGGAACUGAAUUAUUAUCUUCAAUCUAUUCAAUAAUUAAUCAAAUGGCUAACAUUCCCAGACAUUUAGUGCCCUUCGCAUUUAGACCCCGUUAUUGACAAUGCGUCUUAUUGUUUGCACGCUAAUGUCUACGUAUUCCACGAAAAACAUUGCGAAAGAGAGUAAAAGAAAACGCUAGAUGUCGCCAUGUCCUGUUACCAUGGGAAAUCAAUUUCAAUCAAUUUAAAAAUGAUGGCACAGGUAUAUUCUUACGUGAUCCGAUGAGAGAGUCGGGACUUGAUUGGUUCUCUUGCAGAGUCUGGUUUCCCUGUAGUGUUGGCGCUACUAAAGGAGUUGCGUUUUCAAAAAAUGGAGACGUCUCAGGCGUUGCUGGAAAUGUCGGAGCUUCUUCUUGCGGGUAAAACGGGAACCCUUGUUGCGGUGGGAAAGGUGGCGAGGAUUCGUGAUUUUGGAAUAAUGGGGCCAACGCUUGCUGAUGGGUUGGAGGUAGAAGAUUAAACGGCUCUUGACUUUCCUCGGGGAAAACUUGCGAUGAGAGACCUCCUCCAUUCCACCCAGCGUUGUUCACGCCGACGGCCUCUGGACCGUGGCCGCCAUAUCCUGUUCCUUGCUGACCAUACUCAGCGAGUUGCUGGUAAUUUGGAUAGCCUUCUUCGUAUCCCGAGAAAAGAGGAUGUUCGCCAUCAGCAUUGCUCAGGGCAUUUUCUUUGAACUGUUUUUCGGUUUCUGCUUCGUCGGACAUUUCGGUUGUUGUUUCUUGACUAGGACGAGCAGCUGUUAGAGCGAAAGUCAACGCAACCAAAAUUCCAAUCGAUCUUUUCAUUUUUUAAACUAACCUGCAUUUUUAUUCUUCUUAUUAGUAACAAGUCAAAAGUCAAAAGGAAAUAGUUUUACUCAAAAAACGACGAUGUUCUUUUCUCUUUUUUACAGUUUUGCGGAAGGUGUUUAUUCGAUUAAAACAUUUAAACUACGUACCGGUACCGUGUAAUAACAUUUUAGCGAAACCAAAACUUUACCGUAUUUUAAUCACAGCUAUUUCCUUUUGCUAUUAAUUUCUUAGCGGCAAAAAUUUGCAGCACCUGCCGAGUUUUCUUCAAUUAAAAGACGACAAGUUCUGUUGGAGGUCUGGAGCUGAAGAGUGCGAUGAAACAACUGUCAUUGGGCACUUGAAAACAUCCUCCGAGUAAUUUUAUUUCGGGGGGAAAUUUUCGUCAUUUCCGUUUGCUGUUAGACGCGUGGUUAUUGCCCGAUUCACGGCGAGAAAUCUAUUUUCUUUUAUUUUUUAAACUUUUGUACAGAACUGAUGCGAAGCAGUUUCAGCCGGUUUAUGAACAAGGUCAAACUACAACUAGCUAUAGGUGUGUCAUUUAUGGAGCGCUCUUAAAAAUGUUGUUCACGUCUACCUUUCGUUCACCUCUACAACACUGCUGAUAGCGCUUCUGUUGCAUAGCGCUUCUUCCAUUCGCCAUUGGCAAUCGACAGCACUUCUUUGUAAGAAACAAUAAGCACAAAAUGGUAAAUCAUUUUAAAUGUGUAUUGGAUUCACUAAUCAGAAAGAAGGAAUACAAGAUCAAUUGGUGUCCGCCAAAGAUGAAAUUGAUAGGUGUAUAGCAAUUAGAUCAGUAACAUCUCAGUUUUUGAUUUCCUAUUUACGAGCCUAUUUACCGACUGAAAUGCUUUCACCUUGACCGAAGGCUAGGUUACCAAGCGGAGUGGCCACAGCGCCACCAACACCGAGACCAAUACCAAAUCCGCCUGUUUGAUUUAUGAAAAUGAUUGGGUGAAAUCAGUAUAACAUCCACCUUAUUAUGGGGUUACCUUGUCCAGCGUUAGCGAUUCCGGUUCCUUGUCCGAUGGCUUGGUUCCCUACGACAGAACCACUGCCGAGUCCAGCAGCGUUCGCUCCUCCUAAACCUUUGAGAGAUGAUAGAAUAUAGAAACGUAUUUAACGAUUUUAAUGAAUUUGAUUGAUUUUCUGACCACCUGCUCCAGGUAAGAAACCGCCAGCAAUGGGUCUGUUUGGUCUCUGAGGUCUCUGGGGUCUUCCAAGCGCACUUCCAACCAUUGCAACCAC